rfam:Sorghum bicolor cultivar BTx623 chromosome 6, whole genome shotgun sequence.
GUAGUCGGAUUCACAUCAAUCCACAUGUAUUGAGGUGGAUUUGAGUGAAAUUUGAACUAAAUUCUAUCUCAAUCCACACCAACACACAUGGAUUGAAGUGAAUCCGACA